rnacentral:rRNA from 1 species
UACGAAGGGGGCUAGCGUUGUUCGGAUUUACUGGGCGUAAAGGGCUCGUAGGCGGCCAACUAAGUCGAACGUGAAAUCCCUGGGCUCAACCCAGGAACUGCGUCCGAUACUGGAAGGCUUGAAUCCGGGAGAGGGAUGCGGAAUUCCAGGUGUAGCGGUGAAAUGCGUAGAUAUCUGGAGGAACACCGGUGGCGAAGGCGGCGUCCUGGACCAACAACCGACACUGAGGAGCGAAAGCCAGGGGGAGCAAACGGG